rnacentral:rRNA from 1 species
GUUCCAGCAGCCGCGGUAACACGUAGGGGGCAAGCGUUGUCCGGAUUUAUUGGGCGUAAAGAGCUCGUAGGCGGCUCAGUUAGUCGGGUGUGAAACCUCCAGGCUCAACCUGGAGACGCCACCCGAUACUGCUGUGGCUAGAGUCCGGUAGGGGAGCGUGGAAUUCCUGGUGUAGCGGUGAAAUGCGCAGAUAUCAGGAGGAACACCAGCGGCGAAGGCGGCGCUCUGGGCCGGAACUGACGCUGAGGAGCGAAAGCGUGGGUAGCAAACAGGAUUAGAAACCCUCGUAGUCC